AACGAACGCUGGCGGCAGGCUUAACACAUGCAAGUCGAACGCAUCCUUCGGGGUGAGUGGCAGACGGGUGAGUAACGCGUGGGAACGUGCCCUUCAGUUCGGGAUAACCCAGGGAAACUUGGGCUAAUACCGGAUACGUGCGAGAGCAGAAAGAUUUAUCGCUGAAGGAUCGGCCCGCGUCUGAUUAGCUAGUUGGUGGGGUAAUGGCCCACCAAGGCGACGAUCAGUAGCUGGUCUGAGAGGAUGAUCAGCCACAUUGGGACUGAGACACGGCCCAAACUCCUACGGGAGGCAGCAGUGGGGAAUAUUGGACAAUGGGCGCAAGCCUGAUCCAGCCAUGCCGCGUGAGUGAUGAAGGCCUUAGGGUUGUAAAGCUCUUUCGUCCGGGACGAUAAUGACGGUGCCGGAAGAAGAAGCCCCGGCUAACUUCGCGCCAGCAGCCGCGGUAA
rnacentral:rRNA from 1 species